GCAUUAUUAGCUGACUUGGAGCAGAAAUUAGGAGAGAAUAAAACUAUGCAUGCGACAUACGAGGAUAUGAAAAAGCGAGAACGAAUAACUCGACAACAAGAAGAACAGAUUCGCUUCAUGUUACGAGAUACAGAUAGAGCCCUGGAGAUGAUAUCAGGAAAUGUUGCUACCAGAUUACAUGAUAUGAACGUCGGUGCUGUUGAGUUAGUUAGAGAUAUUAUAAUGAAGUUUCAAGAAGUACAAAAGAUUAUUUCCUCUGAAAAUCUUGAGGUAA